CCUACGGGGGGCAGCAAUUAGGAAUCUUGCGCAAUGGGCGAAAGCCUGACGCAGCGACGCCGCGUGACUGAUGAAGUCUUUCGGGAUGUAAAGGUCUUUUUUGGGGGAAGAAGGAAGUGACGGUACCCCAAGAAUAAGCCCCGGCUAACUACGUGCCAGCAGCCGCGGUAAUACGUAGGGGGCGAGCGUUGUCCGAAUUCACUGGGCGUAAAGCGCGCGUAGGCGGAUAAUUAAGUUGGGGGUGAAAUGCCGAGGCUCAACCUGGGAACUGCCUUCAAAACUGGUUAUCUUGAGGUAUGGAGAGGGAGGUGGAAUUCCAGGUGUAGCGGUGAAAUGCGUAGAUAUCUGGAGGAACACCCGUGGCGAAGGCGGCUUCCUGGUCAUAUCCUGACGCUGAGGUGCGAAAGCUAGGGGAGCGAACG
rnacentral:rRNA from 1 species